UACGGGGGGGGCAAGCGUUGUUCGGAAUUAUUGGGCGUAAAGAGCUUGUAGGCGGUUUGUCGCGUCUGCUGUGAAAAUCCGGGGCUCAACCCCGGACUUGCAGUGGGUACGGGCAGACUAGAGUGUGGUAGGGGAGACUGGAAUUCCUGGUGUAGCGGUGAAAUGCGCAGAUAUCAGGAGGAACACCGGUGGCGAAGGCGGCUUCCUGGACCGACACUGACGCUGAGGCGCGAAAGCCAGGGGAGCAAACGGG
rnacentral:rRNA from 1 species